rnacentral:rRNA from 1 species
AUGAACGCUAGCUACAGGCUUAACACAUGCAAGUCGAGGGGCAGCAUGGUCUUAGCUUGCUAAGGCCGAUGGCGACCGGCGCACGGGUGAGUAACGCGUAUCCAACCUGCCUUACACUCUUGGACAGCCUUCUGAAAGGGAGAUUAAUACAAGAUGUUAUCAUGAGUAAGCAUUUUCGCAUGAUUAAAGGUUUACCGGUGUAAGAUGGGGAUGCGUUCCAUUAGAUAGUAGGCGGGGUAACGGCCCACCUAGUCUUCGAUGGAUAGGGGUUCUGAGAGGAAGGUCCCCCACAUUGGAACUGAGACACGGUCCAAACUCCUACGGGAGGCAGCAGUGAGGAAUAUUGGUCAAUGGACGAGAGUCUGAACCAGCCAAGUAGCGUGAAGGAUGAAGGUUCUAUGGAUUGUAAACUUCUUUUAUAUGGGAAUAAAGUUUUCCACGUGUGGAAUUUUGUAUGUACCAUAUGAAUAAGGAUCGGCUAACUCCGUGCCAGCAGCCGCGGUAAUACGGAGGAUCCGAGCGUUAUCCGGAUUUAUUGGGUUUAAAGGGAGCGUAGAUGGGUUGUUAAGUCAGUUGUGAAAGUUUGCGGCUCAACCGUAAAAUUGCAAUUGAUACUGGCAGUCUUGAGUACAGUUGAGGUAGGCGGAAUUCGUGGUGUAGCGGUGAAAUGCUUAGAUAUCACGAAGAACUCCGAUUGCGAAGGCAGCUUACUAACCUGUAACUGACAUUGAUGCUCGAAAGUGUGGGUAUCAAACAGGAUUAGAUACCCUGGUAGUCCACACGGUAAACGAUGAAUACUCGCUGUAGGCGAUAUACAGUCUGCGGCCAAGCGAAAGCAUUAAGUAUUCCACCUGGGGAGUACGCCGGCAACGGUGAAACUCAAAGGAAUUGACGGGGGCCCGCACAAGCGGAGGAACAUGUGGUUUAAUUCGAUGAUACGCGAGGAACCUUACCCGGGCUUAAAUUGCAACCGAAUAUGGCGGAAACGCUAUAGCUAGCAAUAGCGGUUGUGAAGGUGCUGCAUGGUUGUCGUCAGCUCGUGCCGUGAGGUGUCGGCUUAAGUGCCAUAACGAGCGCAACCCUUGCCGAUAGUUACUAACAGGUCAUGCUGAGGACUCUGUCGGGACUGCCAUCGUAAGAUGUGAGGAAGGUGGGGAUGACGUCAAAUCAGCACGGCCCUUACGUCCGGGGCUACACACGUGUUACAAUGGGGGGUACAGAGGGCUGCUACCACGCAAGUGGAUGCCAAUCCCAAAAACCUCUCUCAGUUCGGAUUGAAGUCUGCAACCCGACUUCAUGAAGCUGGAUUCGCUAGUAAUCGCGCAUCAGCCACGGCGCGGUGAAUACGUUCCCGGGCCUUGUACACACCGCCCGUCAAGCCAUGGGAGCCGGGGGUACCUGAAGUGCGUAACCGCAAGGAGCGCCCUAGGGUAAAACUGGUGACUGGGGCU